UCUGGUGGUUGAAGCGAGGUGGAACCACCCGUUCCCAUCCCGAACACGGUAGUGAAACGCCUCAGCGCCCACGAUACUGCUCUGGUAACGGAGUGGGAAAAUAGGUCACCGCCAGGG
rnacentral:rRNA from 1 species